AGAGUUUGAUCCUGGCUCAGGAUGAACGCUAGCGACAGGCUUAACACAUGCAAGUCGAGGGGCAGCACAAGGUAGCAAUACUGAGGUGGCGACCGGCGCACGGGUGAGUAACGCGUAUGCAACCUACCUGUAAGAGGGGGAUAGGCCAUUGAAAGAUGGAUUAAUACCGCAUAAUAAGUGAGAACCGCAUGGUUUUCGGUUUAAAUAUUUAUAGCUUACAGAUGGGCAUGCGUUCCAUUAGAUUGUUGGUGAGGUAACGGCUCACCAAGUCAUCGAUGGAUAGGGGAACUGAGAGGUUGACCCCCCACACUGGUACUGAGACACGGACCAGACUCCUACGGGAGGCAGCAGUGAGGAAUAUUGGUCAAUGGACGAGAGUCUGAACCAGCCAAGUCGCGUGAAGGAAGAAGGAUCUAUGGUUCGUAAACUUCUUUUAUAGGGGAAUAAAAAGAGGACGUGUCCUUUCUUGUAUGUACCCUACGAAUAAGGAUCGGCUAACUCCGUGCCAGCAGCCGCGGUAAU
rnacentral:rRNA from 1 species